rnacentral:lncRNA from 10 species
GGUCCUGGGCAGUCCCUAGUUAGCAUCCAAUGCCACAAAUCAGCGACAUGUGACUCACUCUGGAAUGAGGAUGAUCAAAACCUUCAUGGAACUAUCCACCCCAGCUAUGGAUGCAAGCAUAGGAGUUAUAUGUGUGAGAAGAUUAGAAGAUUGAGAAGAUUAGAAAAAUGAAGAAAAGCAUAAAGAAGAAAAGAAAGCUUGUCUGGUCUCCCACCACCCUGAGUUACAGUGAGGACUUGGUGGGCUGCCUUCUGUAUUUUUGCCUCCCGUGCCCUCCAGAUCCAUGCCCUGUGCUGCUCUGUGCCUGCAGCCUCAUCAGCAGGCCCUGUGCCCUCUUGUAUGACUGGGUUUGGCUACUUGGAAGGCCUGGCAGAAGGAAUGAGAGUAAAGUCAGUGAAAUUGUUCCUCUGCCUCCCUCCCUGCAAGGUCACCUUGUUGCAGAUCACUGCUCCUCUCGAGACUCAGGAGCCUAAUGAGACGCUGUCUCCUGUCGCGCUCUGCUUACUGUCCCUUACCUCCCUCCUUUAGAUGUAAGGACGGUAAGUGCCUAGCAACUGCACUAUUUGUUGUGCCCCUACCCACCUGCACUUUUGUAACUAUUCCCUCCCCAGGUCAUCCUAUGUUGAGCGUGCCAUCUGUUUUCUAUUGGGAAUCUGAUUGAUUUACUUCCUGACUCACUAACAUUUCAAGGCCUUCCCCCUGAAGUUCCCAUUGCCAUGAGCUUUCCCGAGGUUUCCAAGCCAUGCAUGGUAUCUAGAAUAAAUGUGGGGGGCUGAGGAGAGAAGGCCUCUAAUUUUCUGAGUCUUGCCUGGUAGCACCCCCAACCUGACCAUACACAGAGCGAGGCCCACAUCCAUGUGUUGUGAUAUGAGGGAUUCCACACCUCCACCCACUCCCAAGAAGCUCCAACUCCUGCUGCUGUUAUCCCUUUAUUAAAGUCACUCUGUUGAUUACCUGAAUUAUCUCCAGAAGGUCCUCUGCCAGUCGAAGAGAAAGUUGUAAGAGAAAAGGAAUGAGCCACAGCUUGCUCAACCCAAGGUCUUUGUGCAUAAUCUGCCUCAGAGCCCCACUCACGGACUGGCUGAAUCCUGCUGACCUCUCUGGCCUCAGCUUUAAUGAGGCAUCCCCUGCAAAGCCUUCUCCAAGCUCUCCACCCCGGUUAGGGGCCCUUCUUCUGUGCUUCCUCAUGACUCUUAUUACAACGUGUUGUAACUCUCCGCAUGAGGCUGUGAGGUCUGCGAGUGUGGGAUCUGUGUCCCAUUCACCCUUCCACCUGGCACUUGGCCAUAGCACCUGGCACAUAAGCACUCCAUACAUAUGUUGAACAUUGCAUGUUUGGGAUAUCCUCCAGUAUGAAGUUUCCCCAUGAGAUCCAUUUUGAAGGACUAUUUACAGUGGGAAGACACCUUGAUUUGAAUGAGCCAGCCACCUCCUCCUUGAAUACCAUAUACAUUAGAAUCCAUUUGCCCAUCCCCACAGGCACUGAUGUGAUGGGACCCUUAACAGGUGUGUUUAUUGGAGGUAGGGGUGGAUUGUAGAACAGAAAGCGAAACUUUGUCAGAGAUCUUUAUGGGGUGUUGACAUGGGAGGGGGCAGAAGAGUAUAAAAGCAGAGCUAGGGAGAUGGAAAAAGACUCUUUUUAUUCCAUCAUUUUCCCAAGAAUCAGGUGUAGAAAAAAAAAUACCUGUGCUGCUGAGGAUCAUAGGGAGAUAGACUUCAGAUGCAAUUUCAGUCUUCUGAGGUCACUUAUGCUUUUAUCUACCUUUUUCAGCUUUACCUGCUAAUGUGGGGGCAGGGGAGCUCUAUGCAUUAGUGAAAUACAUCUCUAUUUGCAUAAAGAAACACUGGAAGGAUAUACGGGAAACUAAUAAAGUGGUGACCUCCAGGGGAUGGAGGCGAGGAUCCUGAUAGACUAGGGUAGCAGUGGAGAAAAACUUCUCAAUGAUUCCUUUUGAUAUUAUUUUGACUUUUGAAUCGUAAGAAUAUGUAAGCUAUUCAAAAAAUAAAAAAUUAC